AAAUAUUUACAGGUUAAUAAAACCUUAAAAAGCUGCCAAAAUUGAAUUAAUAAUUACUGUACUUUUAAUACAUUAUACUGUCAUACCAUGUAAUCAAAUUAAUUGCAUAAUUUGUAUACUGUAUUCCAAUAAGUUAUGGUACAGGGCUCACUUUAAUAAAGACCUUUGAAUUAAAAAAGAACACUUUUCACUUUGCAUCCCAGAUGAACACCUAUAUUUUAUUUAUUUACUUAUUUAUUUCUGCUAAUUACAGUACAAACAAAAUUACAAAAUAGAAAACAAAGCAAGGAACCAAACAGGUGCUGGACAACCCAGAACAAUUACUAUCUACAACAGCAGCAUCUACAGGAAAGUUAUUAAAAAAAUAAUUAUUGAAAUAACUUAAUACAGUGUAGUUUAGUUUUAAAGAACUUGCUGAUAAAUUUACGAAUUUCACUGGGUAAAUUCUGGUAGCACAUGUAAUAAAAGAAUGAAAUGAGAAUCCUGUUCUGCAGCGAUGAGUACCAACAGAAGAACUACGGAUAUACUAUGGAUGAUAAAUAAAUGUGUUGUCAGAAUUAAUUACAUGGUAGAGUUGAAUAACGUGAAAAGUAAUAAUAAAAUAUCAGCAAAUUGUUGCCUAUAAUAAUGGGAGUAAAUUACAGUACUUAUUUGGAGUCAGCAUUUGCAAUCAAUAUCAAUAUUAUUUAUAAUAAAUUUAGUUGCUCUCCGCUGGACUUCCUCAAGUUGUUAUACAUGUAUAUGUUUUUUUAGCUUAUGAGACCAGAGAGUAGAGCAGUAAUCAAGAUAACUAUCAACACUGAAUAUUUUCAUUCAAAUAAAAUACUGUACAAUAAAGAGAUCGUUUUACAUAGACAUUGCAAUGAAAACUUUUAAUACACACUUUGCAAUAUCUUUUUAAAAGAGCAAAUCUGCUACAGGGUUAAUCCUAUUUGCCAAAAGUGGUCUUUCAUUUGAGAAAAGACCUGAAAUUGCAAACUGGAUCUGAAGGAAUCUUUUGUUAUUAAUAUACCUUACCAAACCCUACUCUUUCAUGGAAAAAAAUUUUCAUAAUAAUACUGUCACGAAUGCCAAUGAACAGUGAUAUCAUCACACUGAAGUUAUAUAACAAAUAAUCAUUGCGUCUUCUACUUCUUGGAUUGCAGGUUGCCAGGUGCUCGAUUGAAGC